rnacentral:rRNA from 1 species
UUGGAGGGCAAGUCUGGUGCCAGCAGCCGCGGUAAUUCCAGCUCCAAUAGCGUAUAUUAAAGUUGUUGCAGUUAAAAAGCUCGUAGUUGAAUUUCGGGAUCGACGGGUCGGUCGCGCCUCUGGUGUGUACUGGCCCUGUCGGUUUCUCCCUUCUGACGAACCACGAUGUCAUUAAUUUGGUGUCGUGGGAAAUCAGGACUGUUACUUUGAAAAAAUUAGAGUGUUUAAAGCAGGCAUUCGCUUGAAUACAUUAGCAUGGAAUAAUGAAAUAGGACGUUUGAUCUUAUUUUGUUGGUUUCUAAGAUCGACGUAAUGAUUAAUAGGGAUAGUUGGGGGCAUUAGUAUUCAAUUGUCAGAGGUGAAAUUCUUGGAUUUAUUGAAGACUAACUACUGCGAAAGCAUUUGCCAAGGAUGUUUUCAUUAAUCAAGAACGAAAGUUAGGGGAUCGAAGACGAUCAGAUACCGUCGUAGUCUUAACCAUAAACUAUGCCGACUAGGGAUCGGAUGAUGUUAAUUUUUUAAUGACUCA